AAUGGAUCCAGCUUGGCUUACGAGAACCAGUCCCAGUGCUCUUGGCAGUUUCUUCAAGGGUGGAAUGGAAGGGUUGCUGCUGUCGGUUUGCUGUCAAGUCGCCAACACUGAACUUCUUGUUGAGGAGUACUCUGCCUCAUAUGUAUGACUGUAUGGAAAGGUGGUCCAUUUAUUCCUUUUCCCCGUCCCGUGUGGAGGUGUCAGGAUGACUCAACCAACCUUGGCUGGAUUGGCAAACUCUGGAAAGAAAUCAGCAUACAGCUCGGUCAUUAACAGCAAUUGCCGACCAGUAGCAAAAGUCAGACGCACUCAUUGAGGAGUACUCUGCCUACGGUGAAAGGUGAGGCCAGAGGUUCAACGGAGAAUCAUCGGAAACCUGUGUGUCAUAUUCAUUGGCCAUUAUUCAAGCGCUUGUGUAGCUCUGAACAAAACCCAACACGGUGAAACUGACUCAUCUGCUCCAAUGUGCUUCCGAUGCCUCUCAACUCUCUUCAGCCGUUUCCCUUUGGAAAAGUCAAUGGAUUUAGAAGUGUUCCAGACCUGGUGGAAGGUGUUAAAAAAAUUACCGUAUUAAUGAGAUGAUCUCCCUGUUGUUUCUAUUUUUGUAUCAAAGGUGCGUCUCAUUGUGGGAAAGCAUAAGAAUUUCAUUCAUUGAAGCCAGUGCAUUGAAUCAAAGUAGCUUGGCUUGGGUGGAUCAGCCCAAAUGCUCUUGUUAUUUUGUUCAUGUGGUGGAAUCGGGAGGCUGCAACUGUCCGUCUGCUACUCACCGUUCUCUUCACACUUUGCUCCGGUCGACUUCUGACCCUGAAGAAGAUAAAUCAUCAACCAAGAUUCGACUCUCAGUCGCAGAGGAACAUUCAGAAGGGCUUGAAGGAAAGAAGAUUGUCUGAAAAUUUUUAAUGGGACCAUAUUGUUUGUAUUGACU